UAGGGAAUCUUCGGCAAUGGGGGGAACCCUGACCGAGCAACGCCGCGUGAGUGAAGAAGGUUUUCGGAUCGUAAAGCUCUGUUGUUAAGGAAGAACGAGUGUGAGAAUGGAAAGUUCAUACUGUGACGGUACUUAACCAGAAAGGGACGGCUAACUACGUGCCAGCAGCCGCGGUAAUACGUAGGUCCCGAGCGUUGUCCGGAUUUAUUGGGCGUAAAGCGAGCGCAGGCGGUUAGAUAAGUCUGAAGUUAAAGGCAGUGGCUCAACCAUUGUAGGCUAUGGAAACUGUUUAACUUGAGUGCAGAAGGGGAGAGUGGAAUUCCAUGUGUAGCGGUGAAAUGCGUAGAUAUAUGGAGGAACACCGGUGGCGAAAGCGGCUCUCUGGUCUGUAACUGACGCUGAGGCUCGAAAGCGUGGGGAGCGAACAGG
rnacentral:rRNA from 1 species